CGCCCGACCGUAGGCGUGGGCACGCCAUUUUCGUUCGUAUGGCAACGCCAAAGUCAUGCAUGACGUAGUACUGACUCGAGCAUUACAUCAUGAUCAUUCUGAUAAACAAAACGAGAGCAUUUCCUGGUUCAGAAACGUUUGGAAUAGAAAGGUAAAAAGGCAAAACAGCAGUCUUUGUCUUUGCUGAGUUUGGACAAGCUGUUGUUUGAGUUGAAACGUUGGGGCAGUUAUUGAAAGGCAUAACCCUGUAGAUUUGGUGACGAUCACGCACAGAGUGUAGAUAUCUCGUCUGGAAGGUCCGUUUCAAAAUGGUGUGAGUGUCGUGUUUCGUGGUCCCCCUGCUGUUGUGGGUCUGGACCAAGUACCUGCAGCCACUGUAUGCUAAGUUCGUCACGGGCGAGAAGCCUGCAAGCAGCAAAGCAGAGCAGGAUAGCGGAAAGAGUUCUCCUGGAGAGCCCGCAGCAGAGAAAUCAGAUGAGUCAGCUCCACUCCAGGCAGCUGAGUCGGCUGAAUCCUCGGAUCUGCGAGAGCGCACCAAGGUCGAGGCAGGAGCGGAUUAGCUGGCGACGUUGACGCUCGCUGCACGUGGCCGUCGAUGCCAGCGUUGUUGCCGCCGUUGUUCGAGAGAAGCUAGCAGUCGUGAGAUGCGCGCUGGACCGGCAAGCGAUAUACCCGUGACGGUCGCAGGCGAAAGAUGGGCACGUCGGCCGAUCAGCCUGCGGCUUGAUAUUUCCGUAUCACCUUGCUGUGCACACGCGUAUCUCGACUGUAAGCAACUCAAAUUUUCUACUGAACGCAUAACGCUGGACGAAGUGUUCCAGUAUGUGUGUCCAGUACCAGUUUCUAUUAAUUUUUAUACUGCACUUGCGCAGUGUACUUCUAUUGAGUUUCCUGCAUGAGAUUAUUGGCAAAUGGCAAUGCAUGUGGUGAUGUUGUGUUACUUACUAGUGAUAGUAGUGCUCUAGUGCUUUAUCUCAUUCAGUGUAUCUAUCAAAAUGACACUGAAUACAGACAUCCUUACGAAAUAGUACGAAAGUUGAA